rnacentral:piRNA from 1 species
UGCAGGUGUCCGAUGGGCAACACCAGA